rnacentral:rRNA from 1 species
CGUAGGGGCGAAGCGUUAUCCGGAUUUACUGGGUGUAAAGGGAGCGUAGACGGUUUGCAAGUCUGAAGUGAAAGCCCGGGGCUUAACCCCGGGACUGCUUUGGAAACUGUAGAACUAGAGUGCAGGAGAGGUAAGUGGAAUUCCUAGUGUAGCGGUGAAAUGCGUAGAUAUUAGGAGGAACACCAGUGGCGAAGGCGGCUUACUGGACUGUAACUGACGUUGAGGCUCGAAAAGCGUGGGGGAGCAAACAGGAUU